rnacentral:rRNA from 1 species
AACGAGAUUCCCACUGUCCCUAACUACUAUCUAGCGAAACCACAGCCAAGGGAACGGGCUUGGCAAAAUCAGCGGGGAAAGAAGACCCUGUUGAGCUUGACUCUAGUCUGACUUUGUGAAGAGACAUGAGAGGUGUAGCAUAAGUGGGAGCCUUGGGACCAAUCUUGGUUGUUGCCUUGGUAGCAGUCAAGACCCCUUGGCAACUGUGAAAUACCACUACUCUCAUAGUUUCUUUACUUACACGGUUAAAAGGAAGUUGGGAUAGUGUCUUUCUCACUAGGCCUUCGGGUUCUAGGUUCGGGAGGGCCUCCUAUCCUUAUCUUCUGGAGCCAAGUGUGGGUACUCCCAUCAAUGCCUAAGACCCUAUGUCUGGGUUUCAGCUCCGAGUUUUCGGAUUUGGACUGGGACUCACCAUAGACUUAGGUUUGGGAGGUAACGUGGUUGUUCCAUUAAGGGUGGCUCGCAAGGGUUACCUGGUUCAAUUCACAAUCUGCAUUAUCCUCACCGUGGACAUUGUCAGGCGGGGAGUUUGACUGGGGCGGUACAUCUGUCAAAAGGUAACGCAGGUGUCCUAAGGC